rnacentral:tRNA from 1 species
GCGAGGGUGGCGGAAUGGCAGACGCGCUAGACUUAGGAUCUAGUGCCUUCGGGCGUGGGGGUUCGAAUCCCCCCUCUCGCACCA